rnacentral:rRNA from 1 species
GACGAACGCUGGCGGCGUGCUUAACACAUGCAAGUCGAACGGAAAGGCCCUGCUUUUGUGGGGUGCUCGAGUGGCGAACGGGUGAGUAACACGUGAGUAACCUGCCCUUGACUUUGGGAUAACUUCAGGAAACUGGGGCUAAUACCGGAUAGGAGCUCCUGCUGCAUGGUGGGGGUUGGAAAGUUUCGGCGGUUGGGGAUGGACUCGCGGCUUAUCAGCUUGUUGGUGGGGUAGUGGCUUACCAAGGCUUUGACGGGUAGCCGGCCUGAGAGGGUGACCGGCCACAUUGGGACUGAGAUACGGCCCAGACUCCUACGGGAGGCAGCAGUGGGGAAUAUUGCACAAUGGGCGGAAGCCUGAUGCAGCAACGCCGCGUGCGGGAUGACGGCCUUCGGGUUGUAAACCGCUUUCGCCUGUGACGAAGCGUGAGUGACGGUAAUGGGGAGAGAAGCACCGGCUAACUACGU